rnacentral:tRNA from 1 species
GGGCAGGUAGCGCAAUGGUAGCGCAUCCGCUUCGCAUGCGGAAGGCUGCGGGUUCGAGUCCCGCCCUGUCCA